CUGACUAACCCAACACCUUAUUGAGACUUGUUGAUCAGCCUGACUAACCCAACACCUUAUUGAGACUUGCUGAUCAGUCUGACUAACCCAACACCUUAUUGAGACUUGUUGAUCCCAACACCUUAUUGAGACUUGUUGAUCCCAACACCUUAUUGAGACUUUCUGAUCAGUCUGACUAACCCAACACCUUAUUGAGACUUGUUGAUCAGCCUGACUAACCCAACACCUUAUUGAGACUUGCUGAUCAGUCUGACUAACCCAACACCUUAUUGAGACUUGUUGAUCCCAACACCUUAUUGAGACUUGUUGAUCCCAACACCUUAUUGAGACUUGCUGAUCAGCCUGACUAACCCAAUAGCGUAUGGCUCCAGAGGUUCAAUAAUAUAAUAACACCUACUAACCAACAGAUAAAGUGCCAACAAGGAAAAAGUUGUCUCUGCUCAACGCAGAAGGCUACAGUCAAAUUAUCCUAUAUUUGGCCCAAAUGGCACCCUAUUCCCUAUAAAGUGCACUACUUUUGAACAGAGCACUAUGGGACCUGGUCAAAAGUAGUGCACUAUGUAGGGAAUAGGGUGCCAUUUGGGAUUUAACCAGAAGGAUAUAACAAUGUGUAUUACAUUCAUUUAAAUAAAGCAAGCCAGCCAGGUCUCUCCCUAGGCUAGUUACAGGUUACAGACAACAUGUCUCUCCCCAGGCUAGUUACAGGUUACAGACAACAUGUCUCUCCCCAGGCUAGUUACAGGUUACAGACAACAUGUCUCUCCCCAGGCUAGUUACAGGUUACAGACAACAUGUCUCUCCCUAGGCUAGUUACAGGUUACAGACAACAUGUCUCUCCCCAGGCUAGUUACAGGUUACAGACAACAUGUCUCUCCCUAGGCUAGUUACAGGUUACAGACAACAUGUCUCUCCCUAGGCUAGUUACAGGUUACAGACAACAUGUCUCUCCCUAGGCUAGUUACAGGUUACAGACAACAUGUCUCUCCCUAGGCUAGUUACAGGUUACAGACAACAUGUCCCUCCCCAGGCUAGUUACAGGUUACAGACAACAUGUCUCUCCCUAGGCUAGAUACAGGUUACAGACAACAUGUCUCUCCCUAGGCUAGUUACAGGUUACAGACAACAUGUCUCUCCCCAGGCUAGUUACAGGUUACAGACAACAUGUCUCUCCCCAGGCUAGUUACAGGUUACAGACAACAUGUCUCUCCCUAGGCUAGAUACAGGUUACAGACAACAUGUCUCUCCCCAGGCUAGUUACAGUUUACAGACAACAUGUCUCUCCCUAGGCUAGUUACAGGUUACAGACAACAUGUCUCUCCCCAGGCUAGUUACAGGUUACAGACAACAUGUCUCUCCCCAGGCUAGUUACAGGUUACAGACAACAUGUCUCUCACUAGGCUAGUUACAGGUUACAGACAACAUGUCUCUCCCUAGGCUAGUUACAGGUUACAGACAACAUGUCUCUCCCCAGGCUAGUUACAGGUUACAGACAACAUGUCUCUCCCUAGGCUAGUUACAGGUUACAGACAAUAUGUCUCUCCCUAGGCUAGUUAUAGGUUACAGACAACAUGUCUCUCCCCAGGCUAGUUACAGGUUACAGACAACAUGUCUCUCCCUAAGCUAGUUACAGGUUACAGACAACAUGUCUCUCCCUAGGCUAGUUACAGGUUACAGACAACAUGUCUCUCCCCAGGCUAGUUACAGGUUACAGACAACAUGUCUCUCCCUAGGCUAGUUACAGGUUACAGACAACAUGUCUCUCCCAGGCUAGUUAUAGGUUACAGACAACAUGUCUCUCACUAGGCUAGUUACAGGUUACAGACAACAUGUCUCUCCCUAGGCUAGUUACAGGUUACAGACAACAUGUCUCUCCCCAGGCUAGUUAUAGGUUACAGACAACAUGUCUCUCCCUAGGCUAGUUACAGGUUACAGACAACAUGUCUCUCCCUAGGCUAGUUACAGGUUACAGACAACAUGUCUCUCCCCAGGCUAGUUACAGGUUACAGACAACAUGUCUCUCCCCAGGCUAGUUACAGGUUACAGACAACAUGUCUCUCCCCAGGCUAGUUACAGGUUACAGACAACAUGUCUCUCCCAGGCUAGUUACAGGUUACAGACAACAUGUCUCUCCCCAGGCUAGUUACAGGUUACAGACAACAUGUCUCUCCCUAGGCUAGUUACAGGUUACAGACAACAUGUCUCUCCCUAGGCUAGUUACAGGUUACAGACAACAUGUCUCUCCCCAGGCUAGUUACAGGUUACAGACAACAUGUCUCUCCCCAGGCUAGUUACAGGUUACAGACAACAUGUCUCUCCCCAAGCUAGUUAUAGGUUACAGACAACAUGUCUCUCCCUAGGCUAGUUACAGGUUACAGACAACAUGUCUCUCCCUAGGCUAGUUACAGGUUACAGACAACAUGUCUCUCCCCAGGCUAGUUAUAGGUUACAGACAACAUGUCUCUCCCCAGGCUAGUUAUAGGUUACAGACAUGUCUCUCACUAGGCUAGUUACAGGUUACAGACAACAGACUGCCACACAGGGCUUGGGUCAAGAGAAGUGUGGUGUAGGAUGCCGUUUGAGGUGUGGCACUAUGGAAAGCAGCAUCUGGGAGGUCAAGGGUCAAAGGCCACCCAGGCAGAGGUCAAGGGUGGGUGACCUCACUCUCUUUACCACUACUCAACGUAGAGGGGGGCGGGAUCUGACUGAUGGGACAGGUUUCUCCAGCUGACGUCUGUGAUUGGACAGAUAUCCAUUCACUCACUCCCUGUGGGGAUAACAUUGCACUGUCUGUCAAAUAAAUAUUCAACCAUAGUCCACCCGGUUCUAUUGGAGAUAAAAGAUCAGAACAUUCCGGUUACAUUGGAUAGAACAAAUUAGAAUAUUCUGAUUCUUUCCUCUGAUGGCAAUAAAGGCAAUCUGGGGCAGAGAAAAAACAAAAAGGACUCUUUUAUAGUCUCUUAACAGAGUACACUUUCAAAAGCACAAAAUGCCCAUUUAGAAUAAAAUAUUCAAAAAAAAUCCUAGGUGGUAUUCUGAGUCUGUUUGAGAGAGGAGAGCAGAUCAGAUGGCCUUCUGACUGAACUUCUGACUUCCCAGCAAACCGGAGCGGACAAAUUCUGCAAGAAUCCAGACACCCGUUUAAAGGAUAGUUGAACAAACAGAGUUUGGGAGAAACAGUAAGAGUUGUUGGAAGGGAUUUGUCCUGGAGAAGUCUUUAGUUAAGGGAGGGAGGGAUGGUGGUAGGAGUAACAGCAGUAAGAGUUGUUGGAAGG
rnacentral:lncRNA from 1 species